CGCUAUCAGAUGAGCCUAGGUCGGAUUAGCUAGUUGGUGGGGUAAUGGCUCACCAAGGCGACGAUCCGUAACUGGUCUGAGAGGAUGAUCAGCCACACUGGGACUGAGACACGGCCCAGACUCCUACGGGAGGCAGCAGUAGGGAAUCUUGCGCAAUGGGCGAAAGCCUGACGCAGCCAUGCCGCGUGAAUGAUGAAGGUCUUAGGAUUGUAAAAUUCUUUCACCGGGGAAGAUAAUGACGGUACCCGGAGAAGAAGCCCCGGCUAACUUCGUGCCAGCAGCCGCGGUAAUACGAAGGGGGCUAGCGUUGCUCGGAAUUACUGGGCGUAAAGGGCGCGUAGGCGGAUAGUUUAGUCAGAGGUGAAAGCCCAGGGCUCAACCUUGGAACUGCCUUUGAUACUGGCUAUCUUGAGUUCGGGAGAGGUGAGUGGAAUGCCGAGUGUAGAGGUGAAAUUCGUAGAUAUUCGGCGGAACACCAGUGGCGAAGGCGACUCAUGGCCCGAUACUGACGCUGA
rnacentral:rRNA from 1 species